rnacentral:lncRNA from 1 species
GAUCAGAGCCUCGGCCCGCCCCAGCACGCUCUUCGCCCCCUUCUCUGCCUAUAGGGCUCGAUCCACGGCACAAUCGCCAUCCCACGUCGAUCUCGGUGACCCCGCUGCGCCGCCCGUGGAGAUUGACCGGACUGCCAAGCCCGCGGUGGCAGCACCGUACUCCGCCGAUUCGAUGCCGACCGGUAGCACGGAAGGAAAUGGCGGUGCCGGACGCGCGCGUCGCUGAUGGUCAGGCUGCCGAGGCAAAGGUUGGAGUCGCUCUUGCAGGAACUCUGGCGGACACUUCGGGCUGGGCGACUUCGAUCUCGGCGUAUCACUUCCUGAUGUAGCCACCGACUCCGAGGCGCAUACAGGAACAACAAGGGCUGUGACAACAACGGCGAUGUGGUUCAAUGGUGUGUGACUUAGACUGCGCGACAAACCAGGUAUGGCAACAGCGAGAUUUGGGACUUCGAGAGUCCGAAAUUCAGACCACAAGGCACUAAUUAAUUGCAUUAAUUGGUGUGUAAAUGUUGACGAGUUGUGGUAAAUCAACCAAGCUAUCGUUAUUUCAGUGGGUGCUUGGAUCAAGGGACUAUUUUUAGUACUAAAAAUAGUCUCUUUUAGAGGCUAAAGUUCCAAGCACCCCUGACUAAAGAGAGGCUAGGACUAGUCUUGAGGCUAAAAUCUUUUAGUCAUAGGAAACCUACUAAAAUAUGUAUUAGCCUUCUCUCUCCUCAUUUAAUUCCUCUCUUUUAACACAUGCGAGUUCUAGAUUGGAGGGUUUUGAGAAUAAUAAAUGCUCAAUAAUUUGAUUUUAGUCUCUUUAGUAUUUGGAUCCAAGCAUAGGUGAGGCUAGCAAGUUUUAGUCCCACUACUUUUAGUCAUGGAACUAAAACGUAUCCAAGCACCCUCUCAGGUUUCUAUCGGUUAGACAUAUAGAUCUGAGUUGGAUACCUUGUUUCCCCUGCUAGUUAAAUGGUACUCCCAUAUUACUGUUGUUCUAAUAUUUGUUUGUGGUCCGCUGUGUGGUGAGUGGUGACUGGGACUAGUAAGGAACUUGUGAACAUCUGGAGUUAGAUAGUCUAACAUGGAAAUAUGCCCUUUUAUUAGAAGCAGGAUCAGUUGCAGUGAAGUUGUCCAAAAUAAAAAUGUUGCCUCUGUUAGGGUGGGACAAUGGAAUGCGAUGAUUCAGGAUAAACGUCUAAUUAGUAUUUGUAUACCAGGAAUAGAACUACUGCUAACAGAGGAUGCCGACUGAGGAGCUGUAUAGCAUGUGCAAUCAUUUUUCUAUUUUACACACACCUUUUUCAUUUAGAAUGUCUGCAGAACAUCUCAUGUCACUUGGUUUUAGUUUUCCUGAGUGAUAGGAGGAAGAGCAUGCAAUACUUCAUUUUUCUGUGAAGCUGUACCAAUGAUCUUCUUAAAUAUAGGUUUAAAUCACUCGAGUGUUGAGUCUGACAAGAUUGAAAAGUCUGUAUGUCAAGAUAGUGCAGGUAUGCCUUUACUAAAUGCGCUUAUUACCGUCGGCAGUGCGUAGUUUAUUCAAAUAUGGCCAGCUAAAAUAACCAUGCAGUGGAUAUGAACAAACAAUUGUCUCAGUUACUGAUUCUAUUCCCUUAUGAUGUUGUUAUGAUUCAAUGAACAAUCAUUAUGGUUCCAUCACUUAUGCAGGCAUCCUGCUAGCUUUCCAACAGUUAUGCUUUAUAUUUGUGGCAUUGCAUAAAUUUGUGAAUUUGGAGUUCAUGGUGAUCAGGGUUGUUUAUACUUGGCGUCUCUUUAAUAUGUACCGUUGCACCUUGAAUCGAAAUAACUUUUGCAAUAUUCACUGCAAGCGUGCCGUUUCCAACAAAAUAAUUGUCUGAUACUAUUUAACACUCCAAUCAUUUAACAAUUUACUAUGGUCGUGACCUAUAUAUCAAUAUAUGCACUGUCAUGCUGCUCUCUUGCGAGCCCUUUGGACGAAAUAUAUAAUGUUUCAAAUCUACAUUCUGAUUGUACUUAAGAAAAACAUUCGACAUAUGUUUUCCUUAUAUAUUAGCAUACAUGUAAUUGAUAAUUUUUUCUGGAAAAAGGGGAACACACAAUGCAGUAAAUUUGUAAUAUUAUGUCAACACAAGAAGAUAUGGUUACAUGUUACAAGUUUGCAUCUACUCCCUCCGUUAGAUAUAUUGAGUUUUCAAUAUGGACUACAUACGGAUGUACCGUAUGUAGUCCAGAUUGAAAUCUCUAAAAAGACUUGUAUUUAGGAACGGAGGGAGUAUGUGCACAUCAGUAGAACUAAGCAGUUCUCAAUAUAUCUGACGGCUCUGCACCAAAGCAAAUACCAGGAAUGUAGUGGGGCUGUGUGAUAUACUUCCCUUUACUGAACUGAUAUUACUAUGUUAGUUCUCCGUGUCCAUGAUUGCCGUGUUACCGCUAAUAUGAUGUAGCAUUUUGUGUUCUGCCAAAAAUAAUUUUCAUAUUUUAUCGAAGUGCUAAACUUGUGACCAUUAUUUUCAGCCUCAUGCCGUAAGCUCAUCAGAUGGUCCUCUCAAGACUUGGAUCGGCAACUUGAUGCAAGUGAUCAACGGAUGUUUGGAAUGUAUACUGCUCAAAUGCUAACAUUGUGUUGCUGUGUAGUUAAUUAACAUUAUAAUUGAAGUGUUUUGGUCUAGCAACUCUAGUUGAUACGUGGUCUAGUCUAUAGCAGAUUGUAUAUGUAGAUUGAAGUGUUCUAGCAAUUUAGCAACUUAGGCUAGCCUUUCUUUGAAUUUAUGGCCAGUAUGAAUAUGAUGUAUAAUGUUUUUUCGCUGAUUUUUAAAUUAUUUGAUUUAUGGCUGAUAUUAAUCCAGUUUUCGGUUGUUUUUACUUUUGUUGUGAUUGUUAGUUGCACCGUGUUCCUAUUCUACAUAAAUU